GGGAAGAGACGCUGGGAUAUCGCCCAGCAACAACAACAACAACUACCACAACAACAACUACCACAACAACAGCAACUACUACCACUACUACUACCUUGAUUGACGACGGGAGGAGAAGGGCACGGUGGGUUCACGGCUCUGCAAGCACCAGCAGCAGCAGCUGCAAGCAAUCAGCAGCAGCAGCAGCAGCAGCAGGAGCAGCGAGAACUUGCCGGCCACAUGUCGCUGCGAUGUGUCGCGUUGCUGUUUCUCGCCUCCGUCUCCUUUCAAGGCGUCGAAGCGGCGAUCUCCGUGGCGGUGACCCCGCUGGUCGAGGUGGAACUGGGAAGUCCGCUGGUGAUCCCCUGCACGGUCACCAGCUCCGUGGGCGACGAGGUGGUCACCCAGUGGUUCAUC